AUGAUGUUGAUUAAUCAUAUUCCAGGUCCUGUAAAUGCAUCCAACCCUCAAGAAUUGGAAGUCAAGUGGUCUGACUUCCCUAGUGAUUUUGUGUUUGGAGUCUCUACUGCUGCUACACAGAUUGAAGGAUCAGCAAAAGAAGCAGGAAGAGGACCAAGUGUUUGGGACUACCAUGUUGAGAAAUUCCCAGAAAGGAUUGCAGAUCACUACAACAUGUUUACGGCCCUCGAUUCAUACAAGCGAUACAAGGAAGAUGUGAAGGCUUUGAAGAACCUUGGAGUUGGGUCUUACAGAUUUUCCAUCUCUUGGACCAGGAUUCUUCCUAAGGGAACCUUGAGUGGUGGAGUAAACCAACAAGGUAUUGAUCACUACAACAGCCUGAUUGAUGAACUAAUCAAGAAUGGUAUAAACCCUAGUUUGCGAAAAAUAUAUAUUACUCAUAUUUUCCAUAUAUCACAAAUUUACAGGAAUGAUUUCAAGGAUUAUAGUGAACUUUGCUUUAAUUUUUUUGGAGAUAGAGUAAAAAAAUUGGAUUACAAUCAAUGAGCCAUUAAUUACUGCAAAUUUUGGGUAUGAUCUUAGGGUUGAUCCACCAGCAAGGUGUUCUGUUCAAACAGCAUAUCCAUGUAAUGUUGGUGGUAAUUCAGCCACUGAGCCUUACAUUGUUGCCCAUAACAUUCUCCUUGCGCAUGCCGCUGCUGUUAAGCUCUACAGAGACAAGUUUCAGAGAAAACAAGGUGGACAAAUUGGAAUUAGUCUUGUGGGACAAUAUGUUGAACCUUAUUCAGAUUCUGCAGAAGACAAAGCUGCAGCAAAAAUAAGUUUGGAUUUUGAACUUGGAUGGUUUGUGGAACCAUUAGUGUAUGGAGCUUAUCCAAGGAGUAUGAGACAGUUGGUCAAGAACAGGUUACCCACCUUCACCGAGAAAGAGAUGAUGAUGGUCAAGCGAUCCUUCGAUUUUAUUGGCAUCAACUAUUAUACCAGCAGAUAUGGCAAAAAUGAGCCUGCAAGUCCAGGAAAACCAAUUUCCUAUAGAAACGAUCAAUUAGCUUCGUCGUGGACUAAAAAUGUGGAUGGAAUCCAAAUUGGUCCUCUGGCUUCAGGAAGCAAGUUCCUCUACAGUUAUCCCCAAGGUCUGCAGAAACUUCUAGAGUUCAUUAAGAAAGAGUACAGAGACCCUAAAAUCUACAUUACUGAAAAUGGAAUAACCGAAAAAAGGGACGAUAAACUAAGGCUUGAUGAAGCACUUAAGGAUCCACAUAGAAUUCAAUGCAUUCUUCAGCAUUUGUACCGGAUCAAGAUGGCAAUCAAGAGCGGUGUGAAUGUCAGAGGAUAUUUCCACUGGGCUCUAUUUGACGACUUUGAAUGGGGGGAUGGCUAUACCACAAGAUUUGGGGUUUAUUAUAUCGAUUACAAAGACAAUCUCAAGCGCAUUCCUAAAGUGUCAGCUAAGUGGCUCCCUAAAUUCCUAAAGGGUCAGGCUUGA